rnacentral:rRNA from 1 species
AUGUUGCGCGAGAGAUGGCAGGGAUGCGUUCUCAUUCUCGUCCUGCUUCUUCUCUCCAACGCAUCAGGCACUUCUCUGGGGGAGAACACGAUCCUCCCUUCGAAUUCUAAGCAGACCAGGCAAGCGCGCGUGUGCGACGGAGCAGACCACCGGCUGCUGCGGUCCCUCGCCAACACCGGCGAAGAGGUCAUGGUCACCAUCCCCAACUCACAUCUGCAGCACAUCGCCGAGUUCCGGGAAGAGGCCCGGCUCUGGGUCGCCACCAACGUGGCGCCGUUCCCCCCGGCAACCAUGAUCACGCACGUCCUGGCGGGAGACGACGCCCUGUCGUCUGUCUCCCCUGGGGACACCGCCUACUCGCUGGUCCCCGCCAUGCGGAACAUCCACGCCGCGCUUGUCGCCGCAGGACUCAACGGCCGCGUCAAGGUGUCCACCACGCUGUCCGCGGUGCCGCUCGCCCCGUCGUGGUCCGCCGGCAUCCCGGGGCGCGUCCUGCGGUUCCUGGGGGAGACCGGCUCGCCCUUGUUCCUCCUCAAGGCUCGCGUGUCCGAGGCCGCUGUAGAUGACGCCAGGGUCAGCGACGUGUAUGCCGCAAUGCUGGCGCUGGGCUUCUCGGGCAUCCCGGUGAUCACCGCUCAGUCAGAGGAGCUCGGUGGCGCGCUGGUGUACCACAGCUACUUGUAUGGCCGUCGUCCCAUGACCGCCGGUGGAGGUGGGAGGCGGUCGCUGGCGACGGGGACGUUCUGCGUGGCGCUCCAGAAUGCGGACCCGACAGCGCUGCAGGCGGGGCUGAGCUGGGCGUGCGGGCAGGGACAGGCCGACUGCUCGGCGGUGCAGCCCGGAGGGGCGUGCUACAAGCAGAACAACGUGGCGGCGCUGGCCUCCUACGCCUACAAUGACUACUACCAGAAGAGCGCCAGCACCGGCGCCACCUGCUCCUUCAACGGCACCGCCACCACCACCGCCACUGAUCCCAGCUCAGGAUCGUGCGUCUUCGCAGGAAGCACCAUGGCAGGAGACUCCACCUCCAACUCGAGCGUGCCUAGCGCGAGCGCUCCGACGAGCCUCGGCGCCCCUCCGUCAGACGAUCUCACUCCUCCGGUCGGCUCGAGCCCUCCAUCCGAUUUCGGGCCCCCGGCAGCCGACACGGCCCCUCCGACGAGCUUUGACGCUCCCCCAGGUGGCUUCGGACCACCGUCUAGCUUCGGUCCCCCGUCUGUGUUCGGCAGCCCGCCAUCGACGUUCGGCCCGCCCGGGAGCUUAAGCGGGAGCGGGAGCUUCGGGCCGAGCGGCACCCUCGAGCCUUACGGCAUCGGGUGUCGCCACGUCGCCUCUUUGGCUGCCUCCACUCUUCUGUCCGCCAUUGUUCUUGCCGUCCUUUGUGCCUCACCAGAUCUGAUGUAA